rnacentral:rRNA from 1 species
UGAGGGAUAUUGGGCAAUGGGGGCAACCCUGACCCAGCGACGCCGCGUGAGGGAAGACGGUCUUCGGAUUGUAAACCUCUGUCUUUGGGGACGAAACAAGACGGUACCCAAGGAGGAAGCUCCGGCUAACUACGUGCCAGCAGCCGCGGUAAUACGUAGGGAGCAAGCGUUGUCCGGAAUUACUGGGUGUAAAGGGAGCGUAGGCGGGGAGACAAGUUGGAUGUGAAAACUCUAGGCUCAACCUGGAGAUUGCAUUCAAAACUGUAUUUCUUGAGUGAAGUAGAGGCAAGCGGAAUUCCUAGUGUAGCGGUGAAAUGCGUAGAUAUUAGGAGGAACACCAGUGGCGAAGGCGGCUUGCUGGGCUUUUACUGACGCUGAGGCUCGAAAGUGUGGGGAGCAAACA